rnacentral:rRNA from 1 species
UACGUAGGGACCAAGCGUUGUUCGGAUUUACUGGGCGUAAAGGGUGCGUAGGCGGCGGAGUAAGUUGGGUGUGAAAUCCCGGGGCUCAACCUCGGAAUUGCAUUCAAUACUGCUUCGCUCGAGUACUGGAGAGGAGGCUGGAAUUUACGGUGUAGCAGUGAAAUGCGUAGAUAUCGUAAGGAAGGCCGGUGGCGAAAGCGAGCCUCUGGACAGUUACUGACGCUGAUGCACGAAGGCCAGGGGAGCAAACGGG